CACCGUUUGCCAUCAUCCUGCAGCCAGUGGAGACCACUGCUGUAAAAUCCUAAAGGCUGCUUCACUUGAAACUCGGGGAAAAACUUUUUUUUUGCUGCUCUCCCCAUUCUGUAUUUGGACAUGCAAAGAUAUUGAGGUGGUUUAACCUGAGCAUUUCUGAGUAGACUGAUCUUUAAAAACUAACCACCUCCUCCAAGUCCUGGUUUGGUUUAGUUUAUUGCUGCAGGGUUCCAAUGUGUAACGUGUUGUUUGUUGUCAUGGAAGCACCGCUACAAGCUCGGUGUCAGGAACAUCCUCUUCUCCCCGCUCCCCCCAGCCUCCAGCAGAGCAAGGAGAUCUGGUUGCUCUGACUUCCAGAGGAAACGUGGGUUUUUACCAUAGAGGUGGGGGCACAGCUUCUCAGCCUAUACCAGGAGAAAUGUUGUACUCCAAAAGAAAGCAACCCGUGAGAGCAGGAACGUCUCUCAGCUGUCUCUUCUCAUGCACUGAUCGAUCUUGGGCGUGGGCUUCCUGCACAAAGCAAUCCGUGACAGGCUGUGGUGUGAUCGCUGCAGGCAGCCACAGCUCACAGUAAAUGCAAUUCUUACUCUAACGCUUGUUGCUUAUUAACACGUCGGAGG